GUGUAUAUUCUUCUAUAAUCCCCCCCCCCCCCCUGGGAUGGGGGAAAAGAAGCAAAGGGUCUUAGGGAAGAAAAUCAAAGAAGAGUGGAAAAAAUGGAAAGGCAGAGGGAAAAGAAGAGAAAAAUUUCCGUGGGUUUUUUAAGUUUAGAUAUAGGUAAUGAGAACCAUAUUGGUGUCCUAGUAAUAAAUUUAUGCCACAAUAGUCCCUAAAUGUUAGUUUAAAAAUGUAGUGUGAAAUAUGAUAGUGUGAUGGCCUCGUGUUGUUCGCAGAAUGUAUGCUUGUGAAAAAAUGUUGUAUUUAAUAAAACUGAGAAUAAAAGAUAAAAAACUCAUUUGUAUAUGUAUAAAUGUGAACCUAAGAAAUAUACGUGUAGGUGUAGACUUGUGGAACAUAAAAUUGGAGAUGCGUGUGUGAAAUUGUAACGGAAAAUAUCCUGUUCUGUGGUGUAAAAAAUUUGAUCAGACCCAAAGAGUAUGAUCGCGCUGUACUAAAAAGCUUGUAUGGAGGCAUGUAAAAUACAGUAUAUAAAGCGAGAGAAGAUAGUCAUGUGUGUAAAAUCAGUAUGGACUCGUCAGCAGGGAUUGGGGUUGGCAAUUGUGUGAGAAAGACAAAAUAUAGAAGCCGAUUUGGAAUAAAGUGAAAAAACAUAAAAAUUAGCAAUAUGUGCACAUGACUAUUGUAU